UCUUAAUUAAAAAGUUGCUGUAG
rnacentral:piRNA from 1 species